GUUCUGAAAGGAGAGAGAAACUCCUGUCAAUCACACUGCCAAAGGACAAAAUGUUCCUCCUGCUAAGUGCACUGCGCCCAACAUCAUCUGCUGUGAAGACCACACUGCACUACAGCUCCGUAUGGACACUGGCUGUGCUUAUCAUAGUAAUUCCCACGAACAACAACAAAAGCCUCAUGGAAUAUCCAAUCCUGGCAUCAUUUAGGAGGCACUUAGAGCACUUCAGGAGGCAUUUAGAAGCACCCAUGAUACCUGAAAGAUUAAACUAGAGCUGUGGGACUGUACUUAAAUUCAUGAAUAUCAUACUGAGGAGUCCUAAAAUGAAAACUUGGAAUCUGUGGCAAAUCUCGCUUCAUCUACCUUCCCAGAGGUGACAGAGGAAAGAGUAAUACCAUUUGGAAACACAGUUCGAGGGCUUCAGACAACACACGGGAAACUGAGGCAACACACAAGACAGGCAAGUGCGGGACUGGGAGGCCACGGUCUUAUAUUUACCCAAUGCGAUAGAGCUGGGCUUAUUAAAGACUGCUGACAGCUGCACUUGAGCCAGGUCUUCCUCAGGGAAGCACUGUCCUAGUCCUGACAAAAGGUUACUGAGGACCUGGCCCAGGACAGCAGCAGUAGAAAAGAGAAACUGGUAACAAACUGCAGCAUAGAAGCUGCCAAUCUCUCUGCCAGUUUAGGUAAGGAUGCAUAAAAGGACAUCUUGUUCAGAGUUAAGAAAUUGGAGGAAGGGAAGACUUGGAGGGUGGCUGUGGCUGUUUGUCAGGUGUUGGGAGAGACUGCAUAGGAGGAGCCAUAUGCACUGAUGAGGAUUAGAACUAUCAGACAACAAUGGGCAUGGGAGACAAAUGUGCCACAGCCUGUAAUGUAAUGCAUGCGGUGCUCAGGAUGCACAUGAAACAGACACUUCAUGUUUCACACAGCUAACAAGUUUAAGUACCUGAUGGUCAAGGAGGGACUCUUGCCUUUGGAACCAUUUGUACUCUGACCGAGGUUUGCAGAGCCUGGAGCCGUUCUCUUUGGCGUCUUCGGGCUGGCCUUGUUGGCAGCAGUGGCGGCGUUGCUCUUCAGAGCCCACAGAAAGCUUCUACUCUUACCAUGGUGUCUCACUGUUCUGUUGCAUGUUCUACAGGUAAUCAGCUACCACAAAAAAGAAGUUGGUCCCGUGAGUUCUCUGGUAAUGUAACUCAAUAUAACCGUGUUUCCCCAAUUCCUAUGUGAGUAUGACAGAGACAACUUAGCACAGAAACUGUCCUCUGGGAGCUUGCAAUCUAUGGAGGAGUCAGAUAAGACAAAUUCAAAACAAUAAAAUUGCCAACGAGAAGGUGCUGGUUAGGCAUUUAUAUUUAAAUACUUUAAAAAGACAACAGGGUUGGGGGCAGUGAGACACCCUGAGCCCCUAGUCCUACAGAAAGAACUAUAGGUAACUAAGGAAUGUGGAAAGCAGGAGGAAUCGUUUUUCUGGGAGGGAGCACACCAAUUGGCUAGCCCUGGAAACAUACAUAGCACUAUAUCGAUGGAGCAGGUUAUAGUUAGGAGUAUAUGUGUACAUACAUAUACACAUAUACACAUGUAGCAGAGAGAAAAGGCCAUGAAUUUGAAAGAGAGGAAUGAGGGGUAAAGUUUGAAGGGAGGAAAGGGAAGGAAAAAUGGUGCAAUCAUAUUUCUACCUCAAAAAUAAAAUAAUUUUAAAAAGAUAAUGGACUCAUUAUGAAACUUAUUUGUGUAGGAGCUAGGGAUAGGAGGGCACUCACUAACCCUUGGAUGUUCUUUUUAACAGCAGGAGAGAUUUACUGUUUCUAGCUGGUGAACUUUAGUUCUUUUCUCAAUAAAACAGAGCCGAUCACUGGCAUUUUAAGUAGCACCUUUGAAUCCACAGUGACUAUGUGAAUGCUAGUCUGACUAAUAAAACCCUUCCAUUUCCAUCAAUAUUUAUUGUUAUUUUAUGUUUAUGGGUGUCUGUUUGCAUGAAAAUAUGUGCACCUUGUACAAGACUGGGCCCCUUGAAGAGGCCAGAAGGCACAGAAAGUGUGUUGAUUAUGGAAUGGCUCAUGGGAACCAAACAGGCAGCGAGUGCUUUGAGCUGCUGAGCCAUCUCUCCAGCCUCAGUAGGAUGCAUUGCCAAGACAUGGUCCACUUUGUACCUAAAUGCCUUUUCUACAUAGCCUAUGUCUCAGCAGAAUGUAAGCUAGUUACGUGAGACGUACUCAGAUUUCAAACAGACAAAAAUUCAAAUAAAGAUCUAUGUGGUGAUUUGAGUGAGAAUGACCCACUUAGGCUCAUAAGCUUCAACACUUGGUCUCAGUUAGUAUAGCUGUUUGAGAACGACUGGGAAGUUGGACUGAGGGCAAGCUUUGAGGUUUCAAAGAAGGUGACUCCCAGUGUCUGUCUCUGCCUUAAGGUUGUGGAUCAGGACAUGAGCCCUCAGCUGUUCCUCCACUUGGCCAACAUGGACUCUAGCCCUGUGAAGCAGUACGCAUAAUUAAACACUUCCUUUUAUAAGAUGCUUUAGUCAGGGUGUUCUGUCACAGCAACAGAAAAGUAACUAGAGCAGUCUGCAUAGAUGAAGGCCUGCUGCCCUGUAGUUUUUGGAAAAAGGCUAUAUACAGAUAAGUUAGUAAAACAUCCCCCAUGAGCCUCUUUCAGGUGUCUAACUAAAUACAGUAGAGUAUAAACUUCAGCAGAGUAAACCAUCAGAACACUGCAGAUCUUCCUAGGGGAACAUUCUCAACAGCUGGAAAUAGAUUCCCAAUAUAUUGAUCUGUUUUCUAGUAAGUUCCUGUGGCAGGAAGCUCAGAGGUUGAGGUCACCUAGGCUACACAGUGGGUUUAAGGCCAGUCUGGGCUACACAGCAAGACCUUACCUCAGUGCCUGCAUACACUUGAGUAAGUUGGUAAUGUUCACACAAAGCAUGCAAAAUAGAAGAUAUACUUGACAAUGGACUCCAUCGAGUAAGCCUUUAGGAAUUUUUGUUUUAUUCCAUUUUAUACACUAAACACUUUGCUGGGUGGACACGUGCUGACCCUAGGACUUCAUACACAAGGUGAGUGAGGAGGGAAUUAUUUGUUACUGAAGAAAUGAUUAAAUGGUGACUGAGCUUAUGAGUGUGACUGCUAAACAUAAGGAAUUCUCAAAACUGAAAAUACUGCGCUCAACAGUGAGGUGAAAGCAUGUAAGAGCAUCAAUCCAUGGUUUUGGGGAAUUAUCAAAAAUCAAAACUAGCCAGUGUGAUAAUGCACACAUUUAAUCCCAGCACUGGGGAGGCAGAGGCAGGCUGACCCUGAGUUCGAAAUCAGUCUGGUCUACAAAGCAAGUUCUAGGACAGCCAGGGCUUUCAGAAGCCCUGUCUUAACAUAAAUUAUACUCUCGGUGACUCACUACCACAGAAACAUUAUGUGUGCACUCUGACACUCCAAAUGAACAACUAGAACUUAGCUCUGGUCAGGCUGAUUCUCUCCCCAAGGGAAAGAAGACAAAACGACAGCUUGUUUUUAUGUACUAAACUGCAACCUUACCAGCACACUUGUAGAGUCUUUAUACUUUCUCAACAGUUUUGCUUCUUUAAAACUGAGUGUAUCAUUUCUUGCUUCCCGAUUAAGAAGUUUCUGUAUCUUUGGUGUCAAUUUGGCUUUAGGUUUGAGGCGCACUCUAGAGUUAUCCAGAACCAACAAUUGGAAGCAGUGUGGACAUGUUUCCUGGAAAGUGCUGUUAUCCUCUACAAAUAAACAAGCAAACAAAUAAAAUUCACAGUUUGCAAGUCAGAAUAUUUUGUUACCUCAAACAACUGGUAUCAUAAAUGGGGGAAAAAAGCAUACUGAUGCUAUCAGCAGAUACAGUCUCGUGAAGCAAACCUCAGAUAUGAAAAUGCAUAAGAGCAAACUGCCAAUAAUAUACCUUACAGAAUUCUCUUAAUUUCCCCAUCCACUCCUGCAGCAGGCGGUAGGCAGGUCACUGGCCUAUACUUCUCUGUUCAUUUGUUGCUUAGUUAUCAACACAUUUACUACAAAGCAAUCGGCACAGGAUUUUUCUUCCCUUCCUUCUCUACCAUCAAUACAACUAGUGUUGUAUUGUCCUCUGUGUAAUGUGAACAGAGGACAACUAGAUGACAUAGACCAGCACAUGUUAAUGCUGGGCCAAGGGAUGGGACUAAUGAAGGAGAUGCAGAGGCUGGCAAAGUUAUUGUAAUUGAAAGAAGGAUGUCUAGGGAAGUGUCAUCAAAUGAGCAUUGCAGAGAAAAAUGACAGCAGGCAGAAAGUAGCGUUCCAGGCACGAUAAGGCAUCUGCAAAGCCCAGGAACACAACAGCAUGAAAGUCCACCAUGGCUGAAGUUGAGUGAACAACUGGCAGUAUGUCACGGAGGUUAUGUGGCAUUCCAGCUAAGAAAGACUACAGAAUGCCCUCUGGCAGCCAGCAGUAAUUGUUUGGAUCAGGUUGCAAGCAUGGAUAAAAAGUGGGUCAGUGGGCUGGUGAGAUGGCUCAGCAGUUAAGAGCAUUGACUGCUCUUCUGGAAGUCAUGAGUUCAAAUCCCAGCAACCACCAACCACACGGUGGCUCAUAACCACCCAUAAUGAUUUGGGCCAGAGUGAGCCUGGGAGUACUGGGGGGUGGGGGGUGGGGCAAACCAAGAGGGAGAAGGGAAAGGGGGGAGUGGGUCAGUUGGGAGGUAUUUUAAAGCCACUGUGAUUUGCUAGUACAAGGUAGACCAAGGGUUUCAAGAAAUAGCUCCAAGAUAAAGACAAGAUCACUGUUUACUAAGGUAAGAACUAGUUGUUUAAAAAAGGAGGGGUGAGGACAGGAAGGUCUCAGUAUAUUGUAGCCAGUCCCAAGACUGAAUAAAAAAAAAAAUGUCAUCUAAGAACUGAGUUCUGGGACACAACAAUGUUUGGCUCUUGGAAGAUUAUUAGGAAAACCAAGAGGUACAGGAGUAAGAGGUAGAUGCCUGGAAGACAGGUGGGAACUACUGAAACCCUGACCAAUGUGGUGCUGUUGAGUUGGUUCAAGGGAUCAAGGCACUUCUACCAAGCUAGACAACCUGAGUUCCAUCCACGGGAGCCCAUCCAACAAAGGUCUAGAUUCCAUCACACUCUUCUGGUCACCAAGCUCCCAAGUGAUGCAGACAUGAGGGCAAAACUCAAUUGAAUAAAAUUUAAAAAUAAAAGCAGAUCAAGGGACAAGGGAGAUGGCUUAGGGGUUUGGAGUAUUGGUUGCUCUUUGCAAAGACUCGGGCUUAGUUCCCAGCACCCACAUGGAGUCUCAGGGCCGGUUUUAAAUGCGGCUCCAGGGGUUUCUACGCCCUCUUCUGGUUUCCGCUGCAUCAGGCACGUAUCUUGUGCCCAGACAAACACACAAAUCACCAAAACACAUUUAAGAAUAAAAUAGACUGACCAAUGUAUCUAGUGCUAAGGAUUAAGACAUUAAGGAAUCUGGGGUUUUCAUGCAACUGAGAAGCCUGGAGCUUUUUUUUUUUUUUUUUUUUUUUUUUUUUUUUUUU